ensembl:lncRNA
GGUUUCCCUAAUAGUUCCUGGUGAAUCAAAGCAGGACCAUAAAGGUUGCUGGAGUGCAUCGUGGCCUUACCCCUGAGAAGUCAUCCUGUUAAAGGAGGAACCAGUUAGAAGCUGUUUUCAAAGUAGCUGAGCAGAUUUCACCUCAAUAGAUCAAAGCAGCUCGUGCUCUGUCUGCUUCCAUUCUGAUGGCAAGAAGAAGAAGAAGAAGAAGAAUGCUUCAGCGAAGUGGCGUUCAUGGUCUCAGUGGACAGUCAUGGUCACACACUGCAUGUGGUUUUAAAAGCAACAUUGUUCACCACAACAAUGGAGAUGUGUAAUAUUAGUGCAGCUACGGUUUGUUCUUGAACAUCAGUUCUGUUUUCUACUUUGACCACUUAGACCAAAAAAAGUGUUGUUUUCAGAUUCUUUCUUAUAAAUCUGUAAAUCACCUGUUCAUUUUU